rnacentral:lncRNA from 1 species
CUGAAAAUUAAAAGAAAUAAACCAUCUGAAAAUUAAAAUAAAUAAACCAUCUGAAAAUUAAAGGCGCGUCAGAUGGACAUGGUAUCUAGUAUAUAUGUUAUAAUAUUUGCUUCUGGGAAGUCUGGUCAGUAGGACAGUUAUCAAGGUCACACGUACCAAACAAAUUGAACAAUUUAUCCGAUUUUUUUUUACGUUUCUUCA